UACGUAGGGUGCGAGCGUUGUCCGGAAUUAUUGGGCGUAAAGAGCUUGUAGGCGGUCUGUCGCGUCUGCUGUGAAAAUCCGGGGCUCAACCCCGGACUUGCAGUGGGUACGGGCAGACUAGAGUGUGGUAGGGGAGACUGGAAUUCCCGGUGUAGUGGUGGAAUGCGCAGAUAUCAGGAAGAACACCCGUGGCUAAGGCGGCUCUCUAGUACGGUACUGACGCUGAGACGCGAAAGCGUGGGGAGCGAACAGG
rnacentral:rRNA from 1 species